GAAAGGGUGGGCUAGCCUGCAUGCAAGCAUCGUGUAUCUUUUCCACACCCUGAGCUAUUUUCAGAGUUAAUUACAAUUCCCCAUCUGUAAGGGGAAGGAACAUGGGAUUUUAAUGCCACAAGCAUGUGAUUGCACAAACUUCAUUAUGUGUAACCAGCGUGCAUUGGAUAUCUCAAAAUCCUUUAUCACACUUGACAAAAGGUCUGAGACGUGGAAUGCUGAUCUGAAAAUGUAUUUUUGAGAUGGAGUGAAAAAAAGAAGACAGAGAUGAAACAGUUGGCUAUUUUUCUUUGUCCAGAUGGUUUCUAAACAAAGAUCAGAAUCUAUUUGAAAGUUGGAUCAUAAGGAACCAUGAGCUGCUCUUAGGGCUGUAUGCUGAACUGAAGCAGAAGAGCUGACACCAUGUUCUUCUCCAGCUUGAAAGGCACUGUAUACAGAAUGAGUCUCAUGGAGCAAGCAAGGAAGAGGACCACACCAGACCGUGUUAUUUGGGUAGGAUGGAGAUACACGGAGAGCAGCACAAGGCCUCAGGCAGAUCAUCAGACAUGCAUUGUUCCAGUGCUGGUAUUCCCUGCUACACACAGACAAUUUUUAUCCCUGCUUUAAAUCCUGUAAUCACUUAUAUUUUGCUGAACAACAAAAAAACCUUUUCUCCUUCUUGCUCCUAAUGGACUAAUCCCGCGGAAAGGCUCUGAAUCCCCCGCUUUUCUAUGGGGCCGCGCUCUCUUUUCUCGUGAGAAGGUGGAGGCCGCAGUCCCUCAGCGGCGCAGGGGCACAAUGGGGCGCAGGGGGUGGCAGCUGUGUCCCCGGCCCUGCUGCGCCCCAGCCCUGCUCCCCGCUGGAGCUGCCUGCAGCUCUGCGAGCCAAGGCAAGAUGCAGGCUAAGGAAGAUUGAUGCGCUGAUUGUGCUGCGGGAGGCCGAACUGUUUAGCUGCCGCCUCCUCUCAGGGUUUUAAUGCCAGCGUUGAUCCCCAGGAGCCUGCUGGUGCAAAGGGUUGCGCUUGGAGUGCCCGGCGGACCUGCUCUCACUUUGCGUGUCGCUCCCACAUUGCAUCCCCAAAGGGCACCUGAAACCCACCUGUUUGGCCUGGACAUACCUGCUGAUAUUGGCACUAUGGAUCUCACAUCAAGGUAAAUUAAUGGAAGUGUCUUACAACACCCUGGGAACCCAAACUGCAGCCCAUCUGUACUCAAAUCACAUCAGAGAUGUCUACCAGGGCAAUCCGUCAUCGAGCAUGAAGAGAGAUGUGGAUCAAAAAAGCGGGUGACUACAUUCAGCCAGAGGCAGCCUAAACCGUGAUAAGCAACUCCUCUGUAUGGACCAGACAAGGGGCUGCAGUCCAGGAAAAACACCUUUUCAACUACUUUUGGCUAAGACCAUUUUCAUUAGAAGAAUGAGGGAAAAGGUCUGAGGAAAACAAAAACUGAAAAAGAGGAGAAAGGAGCUGCACAGAGGACUAGCUGGAUGAUAAAAAAAAAAAAAAAGAGAGAGAAGAUCUAUAUUAAGACAAAACAGAUGCAGCUUUAAAGGUGAGAUCUGCAUACCACAAGAUGAGGACAAUAGGACCCAUCCAGACAGCUAAUGUGAUUCGCCAAUAAAACACCAGAAUAUGACAUUGCUGCAUAACAUAGAAGACCUUCUCUUGCUUUUAUGUACAUAUUUGUUGCAAAGAAGAAUAAGAAAGUGUUUAAGGAAUAUAUUAACUCCCCUACAGUUCCUUAAAAUGAAAGUAUGGGCUAUGAAUUAUGUACACCUCUCUGUAAGGACCAAAGCCUGACAAAAAAAAGAAACAGAAGAUUUGCAUUCAGAGACGUCUCUAUUUUAAUAGAGAAGGAUUUUACCCAAAAGUACGUGCUACUGUGUGACAGACAGCUGCUUGACUGGCAAGAGGGAAGCAGAUGACUACCUGAUGAUGGCCAAUUUUCCUGCAGCUCAGCUGGAGGGCUUCUAGUCCAAGCCAAGUUGUCUUGGCUCCCUCUAUAGUCCAAAUAAAGAAAAAGGCACUUCUGGAGAGCAGCUGUUCUCAUACCACACGUUUAUCUUUGGUGCACUGAUGCCUCUUGAUCCCCAGCGUGCUGCAGAGGGGACCUUGAUGAGCAUCUUAGACAAGAACUCAAGUAUUUGACAGUCAACACCAGGUGAGAUGAACUAUAAUGACUGGUGCAACUGAUACACGUAGUUAAUGCCAAAGUACACCUGUGCCCAUUAAUUUAGUCACAUGCGUCAGGCUUCAAAAAUCCAGAUGAGCACUUGAGAUUUGAUUCAAGCUUUAUAACUAUCUGUUUCAUAUUUGAAUCAAAAGUGGCUAUAAAGUGAAAUGUGAGAUUCUCAUAUGUAUGUUACAGUGUUAUGAAAACAGCCAGCUGAGAGGGCAAAACGAGGCAGCGCCUUAUAACUUUUCCUCAUCACAGAGAGGCAUGAAGCAAGCCUGUAGUUUGCAUUUUGCCUACAGCCCUCUCCAAGAAAGAGGGUGGAUGGUUGUUUUCAAUUGUUCAGCUUUGGUGCAGGUCUUUGCAAACCAUAAUUUGAAAGUAAUUGUGGUAAUUACUGCAACUGAAAAAGUUAAAAUGUGCAAGUUCAAUUUUGCUCAGGUAAAGCUGUGCCAGUAAUGGCACCAUUCAUCAUUUUCUGUAAAAACAGUAACAGGUGUUAAUCUACACUCACUGAUGGGAGCAAUGUGAGUGCACAAUAAGCAAAGUGCCAAAAAAAAAAAAAAAAAAAAAACCCACCACCAAAGUACUGUCACCGAGAAAGAACUUCUAGUAAUGUCUUUGUAAUUGGACUCAACUGAAGAGUGAAAAAUUAUUUGACUUUUCAGUGAUGGAGAUUGCUAAUGAACCCAAUUUUUCUCUUCCACCUUGAUUAGCUUUCUGUAGGAAGAUCCAUUGUAGCUCUGCACAAUGAAGCUUGCAGGAAUAGACACCCAGCUGCUGUAAUUUUAUCAGCCCUCCCACUUACUGAAAAGUAAUCUUUUUUCUUUUUUUUUUUUUUUCUUCUUUGACAGGCUGUUGAACUAACUGUUACUAGGUUUUCAAACAUAAUGGAAAACAGUGGGAAGUAGAAUUUAAAUAGGACUUGAACAGCAAUUUUGCAAUUUUUCCAGCCUUAACAGAAACUUUAUAAGACUUCUAAAUGCCUCACACAUCCUGUCCUCCCAAGGUUCUGGAUGUUACUUGUGAGAUACCCUUGGACUAGGGUUGUGUCUUCUGCUCAUUGCUGUACAGAGCUAUCUUAUGGAGCAAGAGGAUAGCCAAAAUAUCCUGUGCUUUGUGUGUGAACUUACUAAAUGGCAUCCAAUUUAUCUACAGAGAACAUUUAAGCAAGCAGAAAAGUAUUUCCCAUUGUGUAUGCACAAUCAGACUGGUACACUGCACAGUUAGUUUCUGCUAUGAAUUCCAGAGAGUUCAAAAGGUAACAUUAGUUGCACCUAUGUGGUUUUGCUCAAGUAAAUGAGGACAUUUUCUCUGCACAGUGCCCACACUUUCGCUACUAGCAGCUACUUCUAGUUGUGCACAGCCAAGAGCCAUUUUCUUUCAAAAUAUGUUCCAUGAUCCCAAACUUUUCUGCGUGGACUUAUUUGGGAAAGAACAAAGCCAGCUGAUGCCCUUGCUCCAGUCGAUGGGGGUACAUACAACCCUGUCUGGAGGAGUGAAGUCAGGACAGGACUCAACUGAGAUCCCAGUGAUGACUCCAUUGCCUUGGGUGUAGUAACGAAGACGUGGCCACUGCAGGGUUGUGGUCUGGUUUUUAAACAUAACAUGGCAAGUUAGUGAAACAUUAAAAUGCAAGAGAUCAUUAUAUUCAAGACUUUCUCUUCCCUGCUCCUUCUCCUAAAGGGGAAAUCAGACACACAGGAUUGUAGACUUCUGCCACCACUUGCCAUGGGUGGGUGCAGUUGGACACCAGCUUAAGGCAGAAAGGACAAAGCUGAGGAUGAGCUGAAAGUGCUUGCACCAGCCCCACGGCUCCAUGCUCCUCCAGUGUGUUUUUGAGUAGCAUCAUGCUUCUGAGAAUAUGUUCCUUAGAGGACUUGGUGAAAAAGAAUAAGAGCAUGAUAAGCAAGACCAAAUAAAUAUUACAUAAACUUAUUUUCAUAAGUAAAUCUCAAGGUACUUUACAAUGGAAGGUCCAUCUUUUUUCCUUUAUGCAACACGAGAAACUGAGGCACAGAGAAAGUACAUAAAUAAAUAUAAAUUAUAAAUUCUUCAGAUUUUGUCUUGAACAGAAAUCAGAAUUUACAAUUCAUUGGUUAUUCUGAAAUAAAAAAUAAAAUAUAAAAUAUUGAAAGGGAGAAAAGUAAACUGGAACUUUGUUGUCAACAUUAGACAGGAAGCUAGAAAAUGUUGUCACUUUAACCCAGGGAAUGUCCUUCGUCAUUGUAUAUUACAGUGUUAAAAAGGUAUAAUCAGUAGUACAGAUUAAAAGUCAAAUAACAGUAAUUAUAAUGAUGAAAUAUAUCUUUUAUUGAAAUAUGUCAUAUUAAAAAGAAAUAAAAUGAACAGUGUACAUUAUUCUCAAUUGACAAUUUUGUUUAUACAAUCAAAUUUCUGCAAAAUACUCCAACUAUGAAAACAAAGUUUUUUUUUUUAAUGGAAAGGGGUUUAGUUUAUCUUAAGACUUGAUGUGGUGACAUUAUGUUGGCUGUGUUUUAUGCUGUGGAUUUACUGUCAUACCCAGUGACGUCAGCACAGACCACGUCAUUAAGUUAGGGGUUCACCACUUCAACCAAGUGUUUAGCUUUCUGGGUUGAAGGUUUGGAGAAAUUUAUUUGUGGGAUAAAUGGAGAUUUAGGCUGUUGAAGCAUAAGUGUUGUUUAGAAAAUAUGUGCUAUUUACAUUGUGCACAAAACUAUAUGAGACACAGAUAUAAGAAUGUAUUACUAUGUAUAUAUCUAGUAUAAACACACCAUGAUUAAAUAUCAUUUGUUCUGUAAUUGUCAAUUGAGAAAAUAAAUUGUAAGACAAAAGCAUUGGUAAUGAUUGAACACAGACAGUUUAAUCAAGCAGCAACUUUUGAAGAAGUAAUUUUGUCCUAAAAGUCAAAAGUAAGUAAAGCCAUAAUUGAACUUAAACUGCUGAAGUUCAAAUUAAAGCACAUAUUCACCAUCAAUGACUGUGCCUAAAGACACAGGCAGUGAUACAGAGGCAGAAGUGAGAAGCACAGCUGGUUCAAGCACAGCUGGCACCUCCCUGGGAAAGUGCCAAUAAUCCCUCUGACACAUGCAAGGCUCCCAGUGCUGGAGAAAACCAAGAAUACAGGGCUAAAAUUUGGCAGCUACUUAUCAGCAUGUGAUUUAGUGACAUAAGAUAGCUAAGUACAUAAUUACCUAUAUAUAUAUUUUUUAAUUCUCAAAAUACUGCUGGUGCACAGGAGUUCUCAAUGGGAAUCAGGAAGAAAUCUGGGAGACUUUCCAAGUGCAGGAUUGGAAGGCUUACAUAGUCACAAUUAUGAUUUUAGAAAAACAGACCACAAAUAUGUCACGCAGACUGGAGAGUGUGAUGUAUAGAUAAACACAUACACACUGCAUUGAUUGUAUUUUGUAACAAAAGGGAUGAAGACCAGCAUGUGUGUCUUUGACAGGAUAGCUCAAACAAAAAUCACAUGUACAGCAAACAUUCCCCAUAAUUCUUGAAAUUAGGCAAAAGUGUGUUAAAACUCCAAGUUGCACAAGGACUUAAAAUGCUUGUAUGCAGUUUGGGAAAUGAUUGAAGGAAAAUAGAAAGUGUCUGUGACAAGAAAGCAAAAAGACAGCUUUGAGAUGAUGGUAACAUAUUUUUAGAGCAUAAGUAAGUUCUCUUAAAAUCAGUUCUCUCUAUGCUUGUUCAUUACUCCUAGUCAUAUUACUAGAAAUUCCUUCAACGUACCUGGGAGCACAAAUUAACAUAAUAUUAGCAAUGAAUCUACUGACAUAUUUCAAGUACUUGGACUACUGUGAACUGAGAGAUUGAGUCAAUUUUAAGAGAUCACUUAAAAUCAACUUCAGUACAUUGUUUCUCCUGGUGUGAAGUAAUGUGGUUAUGUGGUCUCACUCAACAAAGUCGUGCCUGCGUGGAGCAGCUGGUGUGCCUGAUCUUCACGUGUGGUCUCCCCUUGAUUUUGCUGGAUUCAGGAUCAUCUGCAGAGAGCACAUGUAUCUGGAUAAUGGAUUUGCCUCACUGAAAUUGCAGCCUUCAAGACAGACCAGCAGCUCAGCAGUGCACCUGGAUACUUUAGCAGGAAAUGAAGCUGUUUGGAAUACAAAGGAAAAAAAAAUCUGCAUGGGUCAUGUUUUUCAUAUGAAAAUAAUUAGAUAUUGUAGAUAUUCCUUCCCCUCUCUGGAUGAUUCUCACAGAUCAAUGAGUGGAG
rnacentral:lncRNA from 1 species